rnacentral:lncRNA from 1 species
UGCGACUAAUUAGGGGUAGUUGUGAAUAAAAAUCUGCUGGUAAUUUGCUUCCUUAAUUUACGAGAGCCAUGCAAACAGAAAUAGAUUGCCCGCUUCAUGGCGAUUGAUAUUCAUCUCCUUUGCGUGUGUGGCACCGCCGCCUAGAGUUAGAGCUAGCAGCCCUGAAUCGGGGGGUACAUGACUGCCGGAGAUAACCAAGCUGCUGUCUCCCAUGACUGCCGGAGGUAACCACACAGCUAACUCUUUAAGAUUGUGUACAAGUUACGAAGAUGAAGGCAUGUCUCUGGUCUCUAGUUAUACAGGUAGUCUAUUCCCUAUGGGAUUUUAUCAUGAUGAUUGGUCAAAAUUUAUAAAUGAUUAUCAAUAUUGCAUUUUUACUGUCGUAACUGUCCGCUGAUGAUUGAUUUAUUUGAUACUGUUUAUGCAUAGGUAUUAUUGGUGUUAUGAAAACAAAUUUAGUUCGGCAACAUGCUGAUAGUUGCAAAGGAGGAAUUAAACGAGAGGCUUUACAUACCAAAGCAAGUAAUCAUGGGCAUUUAAAUCAUCUACGAGUGUUAACGAUGAACCUGUUUAUGUAUUGUGAUCGAAAAAUCAGGUUAGCCUUAAUAUUGGAUAUAUUAGUAAAGAAAGAGACUAAAGAACUAUAUUUUCAUUGGCUCACAAUUCAUCA